AGUGAACGCUGGCGGUAGGCCUAACACAUGCAAGUCGAACGGCAGCACAGGAGAGCUUGCUCUCUGGGUGGCGAGUGGCGGACGGGUGAGGAAUACAUCGGAAUCUACUUUUUCGUGGGGAUAACGUAGGGAAACUUACGCUAAUACCGCAUACGACCUACGGGUGAAAGCAGGGGACCUUCGGGCCUUGCGCGAUUGAAUGAGCCGAUGUCGGAUUAGCUAGUUGGCGGGGUAAAGGCCCACCAAGGCGACGAUCCGUAGCUGGUCUGAGAGGAUGAUCGGCCACACUGGAACUGAGACACGGUCCAGACUCCUACGGGAGGCAGCAGUGGGGAAUAUUGGACAAUGGGCGCAAGCCUGAUCCAGCCAUACCGCGUGGGUGAAGAAGGCCUUCGGGUUGUAAAGCCCUUUUGUUGGGAAAGAAAUCCGGCUGGCUAAUACCCGGUUGGGAUGACGGUACCCAAAGAAUAAGCACCGGCUAACUUCGUGCCAGCAGCCGCCGUAA
rnacentral:rRNA from 1 species